AUUCAGUUGACGCGUCCCAAAUAGGACGAAAUUCAAAUCAAGCUGGAU
rnacentral:hammerhead_ribozyme from 1 species